GCGUCCCCAUUGGAUAAGGAGUGUUAAGGGAAAGUUUGAGUGACAGCUCAGCCUCAGUGCAGGUAAACUAACAUUAGAGACUCAGAGUCUGGUCUGGAGGACACACAAGCCACUCCACAGCGGAUUCCUACAAGAUUAAUAAAGUAGACCUGCAGGACCCGAGCAGAGCUACGAUGCUCUCCCAGGUAACCUUAAGGUACUUCAAGCUGUACAAUAAGAAGUUAAGGAAGUGAAGGACUACAGCCACAUCCCAGCCCUUCAGAGAACUGUACUGCAGAAAGGGCUGUUGUCCAGACUGGAGCAGUGGGCCAUCAGUGAGCUCAGGAGACCAGAUGAUCCCAGGCGUCCAGGAGUUGUGCGUGAUAUUCCUGCACCACCCUCAGAAGUGUUGUUGCAGACACAAGUCAGCAAAUAAAUACAGCUUACCUUAGGUGAAACUGAAUAUGUGAAAUAUAUACAUAACCCAAUUACUCAGUAUGUUUGUGUAUUGUUGGUGAUGAAAAACGGAUCCUGACCUGUGAUGUACUGCAAAUAAUGACUGACACUGAGUUCCAGCUUCUUCUACCACCAGGGCCCCAGCAAAAUACGUUCAAAUAUCCAUUAUGUAUGUGAAGUUUUAUAUUGGACUAAAAAUAAAGCAUUAUAAUAGUCUCAA